rnacentral:rRNA from 1 species
AUUGAACGCUGGCGGCAGGCCUAACACAUGCAAGUCGAACGGUAACAGGAAGAAGCUUUCUUCUUUGCUGACGAGUGGCGGACGGGUGAGUAAUGUCUGGGAAACUGCCUUAUGGAGGGGGAUAACUACUGGAAACGGUAGCUAAUACCGCAUAACGUCGCAAGACCAAAGAGGGGGACCUUCUGGCCUCUUGCCAUCGGAUGUGCCCAGAUGGGAUUAGCUAGUAGGUGGGGUAACGCCUCACCUCGGCGCCGCUCCCUAGCUGGUCUGAGAGGAUAACAAGCCAACCUGAAACUGAGACACGGUCCAGACUCUUAGGGGAGCAAGCAGGGGGAAAUAUUGAACAAUGGGGGAAAGCCUGAUGCAGCAAUGCGGCGUGUAUGAAGAAGGCCUUCGGGUUGUAAAGUAUUUUCAGCGGGAGGAAGGGAGUAAAGUUAAUACCUUUACUCAUUGACGGUACCCGAAGAAGAAGCACCGGCUAACUCCGUG